rnacentral:rRNA from 1 species
AACGUAGGAGACAAACGUUAUCCGGAGUUACUGGGCGUAAAGGGCGUGUAGGCGGUUAGUUAAGUCUGGCGUGAAAGCUCUCGGCUAAACCGGGAGAGGUCGUCGGAUACUGGCAAACUAGAGGAUGGUAGAGGCGUGUGGAAUUCCGGGUGUAGUGGUGAAAUGCGUAGAGAUCCGGAGGAACACCAGUGGCGAAGGCGACACGCUGGGCCGUACCUGACGCUAAAGCGCGACAGCAUGGGGAGCAAACGGG